GACGAACGCUGGCGGCGUGCUUAACACAUGCAAGUCGAACGGUGAAGCGCCUUCCUUUUUGGUGGGUGUGGAUGAGUGGCGAACGGGUGAGUAACACGUGAGUAACCUGCCCCCUUCUUCUGGAUAACCGCAUGAAAGUGUGGCUAAUACGGGAUAUUCUGGGUCUGUCGCAUGAUGGGUCUGGGAAAGAUAUUGUUUCGGUGGGGGAUGGGCUCGCGGCCUAUCAGCUUGUUGGUGGGGUGAUGGCCUACCAAGGCGGUGACGGGUAUCCGGCCUGAGAGGGUGGACGGUCACACUGGGACUGAGACACGGCCCAGACUCCUACGGGAGGCAGCAGUGGGGAAUAUUGCACAAUGGGCGCAAGCCUGAUGCAGCGACGCCGCGUGAGGGAUGGAGGCCUUCGGGUUGUGAACCUCUUUCGCCAGUGAAGCAGGCCUGCCUCGUUUGUGGGUGGGUUGACGGUAGCUGGAUAAGAAGCGCCGGCUAAUUACGUG
rnacentral:rRNA from 1 species